rnacentral:rRNA from 1 species
GUUGGCGGCGUGGAUUAGGCAUGCAAGUCGCGCGAGAAGCUAAUUAGCUUGCUAAGAGGCGGACAGCGGCGGAAGGGAGAGUAACGCGUGGUUACGUACCCUCGAGACCGGGAUAGUAGCGGGAAACUGCUAGUAAUACCGGAUAACAUCUUCGGAUCAAAUGGUGUGAUUCCGCUCGAGGAUUGGACCGCGUACUAUUAGCUUGUUGGCGGGGUAAUGGCCCACCAAGGCUGCGAUGGUUACCGGGUGUGAGAGCAUGGCCCGGCUCACUGGGACUGAGACACUGCCCAGACAUCUACGGAUGGCUGCAGUCGAGAAUCUUCGGCAAUGGACGAAAGUCUGACCGAGCGACGCCGCGUGCGGGAUGAAGGCCCUCGGGUUGUAAACCGCUGUCAGUUAGGAGGAAAUCCAUGAGGGUUCUCUCUCAUGGUUGACCGAUUUUCAGAGGAAGGACGGGCUAAGUUCGUGCCAGCAGCCGCGGUAAGACGAACCGUCCAAACGUUAUUCGGUAUCACUGGGCUUAAAGCGUGCGUAGGCGGCUUGGUAGGUGAGAUGUGAAAGCCCACGG